UCUGCGCGCGGCCGGGGCCCGGGCCGAGCGGGUGCUGUCCGGUGCCGUCCCGGCCAUGGAGGCGGCGCGGCGGUGGCCGCUGUGGUGGCCGCUGUGGCUGCAGGGCCUGGCGCUGCUGUGGGGCCGCGCCGUGGCGGGGCUGGAGCAGAUCCGCAGCACGGUUCCGCCGCCGCAGGCAUGUUCAGCAUUUUCCCAGAAGUCCUGUGAAGAAUGUCUAAUAAAUGUUUCGUGCCUUUGGUGUUACACCAACAACACAUGCAUUGAUUACCCUGUAAGAAGUAUUUUUCCACCAUCUUCAUUGUGUUCUCUCUCAAAUGCUCGAUGGGGAGUUUGCUGGAUAAACUUUGAGGCUUUAAUUAUUGCUAUGGCUGUGGUAGCUGGACUCAUUCUGGUGUCCCUAGCAGUCUGUUGCUGUUACUGCUGUUACUGCAGAAGGCGUUCCAGGAGCAGACUACAGGAAGAAGAGGAGCAACUAGCUAGGAAGAGAGAGGAACGAAGGCUACAGUCUCUUCAGAGGAAACAUGAAAGAAAACUGAAGCAUGAUGAAAUACGUAAGAAGUAUGGUAGUUAGUUGCAGUAACUGAUACAGUAAUCAGCUCUGAGCAAUUGUGCUGCUUGACUGGCAUCUUAAAUAACCUGGCAGUUCAAAUGAAGCUCACCAACUGCACAAGGUCUUCUCCAGGAUUCUGAUAAUCCCUACAGCAGAUUUGAGAAUGAAUAAAGAUGAGCACCUUCCACAAGAGCUGUAAUUCCAGAAUGCAGGAAGACAGUUUGUUUUCAUUAGCCCUUUCGCUCUUUCACUUCUGUUUUUUUCUCUCCAAAGUAUUUUUUCCUGGUUGUAAAACUAGAAGCAGCUAAAGACUUUCUGAAAUAACACGUUUCUAUCUCCUACGUGUAUGGAAAUAAUUUUCCAUAAAUGUUUUUUAUUGUUGAAAUGUUCGCUGAAGUUGGUUUAUGUUUCCUCUUCUUAAAAUCUAUAUUUCAUUACUUGACUUAGAUGGUUAAUAGUCACAAUAGCGUGAUUUUGAAUUCAGUCUUAACUGCUACUUAAAACAGUUGUUCUCAUGUUCCUAAAUAGACAGAUUUAUAUAUAUAUAACAAAAAGCAACAUGGAAGCACAGCUUCACAUAGCAGAAAUAGUUGAUGAAGAAUACAUCAUGCACACUCUUGUGGGUGGAGGUUUUUUUACCUGGAAAAGCAUCUUCCAAGAGUGUAAUGUGUAAGGGUUGACAGAGAGGAGCAUAUUGGUCUUUGAAUAAUUAAAUUCAGUUGUGGGAAUGUUAAUAUGUACUUUGAAUGCAGUUAGCAAAAUUGGAGGAAGGUUGAUCUUGAAACAAACAUAGUUAUGUGUUCCUAUAUUUAAGAAGCAUCAGUCUGUGUGAGCACUUUCUUCUCCAAACUUAAAGUAUGUUGCAAAAAAAAAAAAAAAAGUGUAAAGUUGCCCAGAUUCUGCAGUUUACCAGGGCUGACCCUGGCCAGCAGCUUAAGCACUGCCCAGCUGCUUCCUCCCUCCCUCGAGGGGAUGUGGGAGAGAAUGGGAACAGCAAAGGGUUGAGAUAAAGGUGCAGUAAGUGAAGGAAAGGGAGGGUAGAGGGAACAAAUUCUGCAAAGCAAUUGCCACCUCCCAGAAGCAGACCUUUGCCCAGCCUCCCUCCAGUUUUCUUGGUGAGCCUGGAAUAGGGUCAAUUUGGGUCAGUUUUGGCCAACUGUAUCCUCUCUCAGCUUCUUGCUCCCUCUGGCCUAGUUGCUGGAGCAAGCAGAGUGAGGGAAAAAUGAAACCUUGAUGCUGUGCAAGCAAUGCUCAGCAAAAGCCAAAGCACUGGUGUGUUACCAGCACUCUUUUUGCCACAAAUCCAAAGCAAAGCAGCACCAUAAGGGCUGCUAUGAAGAAAGUUACCUCAGUCCUUGCCAGAGCCAGUACAGUAAAAAGGCAGUAUUUUUUUUAACCUUUUAUUGUUCUUUUGAUAUUUCCAUAAUGUGAUUUAUUUCCUGUCUUACUUUUCAUAAAGGGUUUCCUUGAGCACUUUUAGUAGCUUACCAGUAUGAUGUGACAAGCAAAGAGCUCUUCUAUACCCCCAGUCUAAUUGUAUGGUCCCAUUUAUUCUGUACACUUUAAAUCACCUCCCUUGUUGUUUAUUAUCUGUUAAACAAAUGUACAGUAUUGAAGAUGUUUGUGUUAUUUUUGUCCAUGUUCCUAAAAUAAACUCUUUAACAUCUUGAA